GACGAACGCUGGCGGCGUGCUUAACACAUGCAAGUCGAACGGAAAGGCCCUGCUUUUGUGGGGUGCUCGAGUGGCGAACGGGUGAGUAACACGUGAGUAACCUGCCCAUGACUUUGGGAUAACUUCAGGAAACUGGGGCUAAUACCGGAUAGGAGCUCCUGCUGCAUGGUGGGGGUUGGAAAGUUUCGGCGGUUGGGGAUGGACUCGCGGCUUAUCAGCUUGUUGGUGGGGUAGUGGCUUACCAAGGCUUUGACGGGUAGCCGGCCUGAGAGGGUGACCGGCCACAUUGGGACUGAGAUACGGCCCAGACUCCUACGGGAGGCAGCAGUGGGGAAUAUUGCACAAUGGGCGGAAGCCUGAUGCAGCAACGCCGCGUGCGGGAUGACGGCCUUCGGGUUGUAAACCGCUUUCGCCUGUGACGAAGCGUGAGUGACGGUAAUGGGUAAAGAAGCACCGGCUAACUACGUG
rnacentral:rRNA from 1 species